rnacentral:misc_RNA from 1 species
UCAAACUUGGUCAUUUAGAGGAAGUAAAAGUCGUAACAAGGUCUCCGUAGGUGAACCUGCGGAGGGAUCAUUACAGGGUUCGUGCCCCCCGGGCCGGCCUCCCACCCCCUGACAUCGCUACGACGUUGCCUUGGCGGGCCGCGCCCGCGCGCCCGCCAGAGGCCCCCAACCCUCGAUUCUGGUGUCGUCCGAGUGCCAACGAAAUCGUUAAAACUUUCAACAACGGAUCUCUUGGUUCUGGCAUCGAUGAAGAACGCAGC